AGUGAACGCUGGCGGUAGGCCUAACACAUGCAAGUCGAACGGCAGCACAGUAAGAGCUUGCUCUUACGGGUGGCGAGUGGCGGACGGGUGAGGAAUACAUCGGAAUCUACUUUUUCGUGGGGGAUAACGUAGGGAAACUUACGCGAAUACCGCAUACGACCUACGGGUGAAAGCAGGGGAUCUUCGGACCUUGCGCGAUUGAAUGAGCCGAUGUCGGAUUAGCUAGUUGGCGGGGUAAAGGCCUACCAAGGCGACGAUCCGUAGCUGGUCUGAGAGGAUGAUCAGCCACACUGGAACUGAGACACGGUCCAGACUCCUACGGGAGGAAGCAGUGGGGAAUAUUGGACAAUGGGCGAAAGCCUGAUCCAGCCAUACCGCGUGGGUGAAGAAGGCCUUCGGGUUGUAAAGCCCUUUUGUUGGGAAAGAAAAGCAGCAGGUUAAUACCCCGCUGUUCUGACGGUACCCAAAGAAUAAGCACCGGCUAACUUCGUG
rnacentral:rRNA from 1 species